AACAAGGUUCCGUAGGUGAACCUGCGGAAGGAUCAUUAAUGAAUUGAAAGGGAGUUGAUGCUGGCCAGGUCUCUGGCAUGUGCUCGCUUCCGACAAUCUUAUCCAUACACCUGUGCACACUGUGAGGGCAUGCAAGUGCCCUUAUUUACUACAUACACCUAAUAUGGAAAUCGCACGUGACUUGCGUCGUAUGGCGCUUAAAACUAAAAACAACUUUUAACAACGGAUCUCUUGGCUCUCGCAUCGAUGAAGAACGCAGCGAAAUGCGAUAAGUAAUGUGAAUUGCAGAAUUCAGUGAAUCAUCGAAUCUUUGAACGCACCUUGCGCUCCUUGGUAUUCCGAGGAGCACGCCUGUUCGAGUGUCGUGAAACUCUCAAGCUAGAUGCUUUAGUGUCAUCUACUUGGUUAUUGGACUCUGCUGUCUCCUUGUCUGGAACGGCUGGUCUCAAAUGUAUUAGCUGGUCCUUGUUGUGGGAUUUGGUUCUACUCAGCGUGAUAAUCUAUGACCGCUGAGGACAUCUCUCGGGAUGGCCAAGCCUGCCUUGGGCUGCUUCUAACCCAUCAUCAUGAUAUUUUUCAACUUUGACCUCGAAUCAGGCGGGACUACCCGCUGAACUUAAGCAUAUCAAUAAGCGGAGGAAAAGAAACUAACAAGGAUUCCCCUAGUAACGGCGAGUGAAGCGGGAUGAGCUCAAAUUUAAAAUCUGGCAGUCUUCGAUUGUCCGAGUUGUAAUCUAGAGAAGCGUUUUCCGCGCUGGACUGUGUACAAGUUUCCUGGAUACUGAACAUCAGAGAGGGUGAG
rnacentral:rRNA from 1 species